rnacentral:tRNA from 1 species
GGGUGUAGCUCAAUGGUAGAGCACUUGCCUAGCACAUGUGAGGCCCUAGGUUUGAGACCUAGUACCACA